UACGGAGGAUGCAAGCGUUAUCCGGAAUGAUUGGGCGUAAAGGGUCCGCAGGUGGCAGUGUAAGUCUGCUGUCAAAGAAUGAGGCUUAACCUCAUCAAGGCAGUGGAAACUACACAGCUAGAGUACGGUCGGGGUAGAAGGAAUUCCUGGUGUAGCGGUGAAAUGCGUAGAGAUCAGGAAGAACACCCGUGGCUAAGGCGGCUCUCUAGUACGGUACUGACGCUGAGACGCGAAAGCGUGGGGAGCGAAUAGG
rnacentral:rRNA from 1 species